UGGCCUACAGGAAGAGAAAUCACUGUAGAUAAGAACAGUCACACGUUCUUUUUCAACAGCCCAGGAGUGUAGAAGAGGCCAGAACUGGGUAAGGUCACACAGAGGCUUCCUUUUCCUCCUCCGUGUUCAGGAUCUUCCCACCCCAGGGACAGAACCGGAGUCUGAUGAAUAGGCAGGCAUACUACCAGGCCAGGUGUCCUGGGCAAUUCCCCAACCUUUCCUCGCUUGACCUUGUUUUCCUGUGGACUGAGACCAAGAUGCCCCUCCCACCCUUCUUGGAAGCCAAGCCCCCUUUCACCAGUAUAAGGUCCACACCUCUGGAAGAGAAUGAUUGCAGAAACUGCCUUCUCUCUCUCAGACAUCAAACUAGAGACCCAGGUUUCUCCAGGGGAGUGCGGUC
rnacentral:lncRNA from 1 species